rnacentral:rRNA from 1 species
AUUGAACGCUAGCGGGAUGCUUUACACAUGCAAGUCGAACGGCAGCGCGGACUUCGGUCUGGCGGCGAGUGGCGAACGGGUGAGUAAUGUAUCGGAACGUGCCCAGUAGCGGGGGAUAACUACGCGAAAGCGUAGCUAAUACCGCAUACGCCCUACGGGGGAAAGCAGGGGAUCGUAAGACCUUGCACUAUUGGAGCGGCCGAUAUCGGAUUAGCUAGUUGGUGAGGUAACGGCUCACCAAGGCGACGAUCCGUAGCUGGUUUGAGAGGACGACCAGCCACACGGGAGCUGAGACACGGCCCAGACUCCUACGGGAGGGAGCAGUGGGGAAUUUUGGACAGUGGGGGCAACCCUGAUCCAGCCGUCCCGCGUGUGCGAUGAAGGCCUUCGGUUUGUAAAGCACUUUUGGCAGGAAAGAAACGUCGCGGGCUAAUACCCCGUGGAACUGACGGUACCUGCAGAAGAAGCACCGGCUAACUACGUG